ACUGGGGUAAACUGGUUGUGAUAAAUCUCAGCCGGCCGGGCUGCGCGAAGGGUCCAACCAGCUACAGACAAGUGGGCAGCCACAACGGAGCAGCACCAUGGUCAGGAUUAGCUGGAGCCCACCUGAACUUUACAGACCCAGCACAAGGAUCCAUCACUGAGAAAUGAUGGAAGCAGGGAGAGAUGAGCCAGUUAUCCCAUUAGCAGUGAGGGCUAAUACUGCCGUUUGUUGUGUAAGCUGUGGCUAUCAAUGAGUAAGCAUUUUGGGUGUGGUGCCUGCUCCUCCAAAACGUGCAUCUGACACUGGUAUUGGUGCAAAUGUACCUCUCAGGUGCUAAAGCCACAGACCUCGAGAAUUUUGACAGGUGAGUGCUGAAGAGCUCAGCGAGCCCUGAGAGCUCUCUGACCAGAUGCACCGUGCCUGUCUGCAGCCUGCUGCUUUCUGACAUACUCAGCUGGAGCACCCCCGUGCUUGCAAACAUGGCAAAGCCAGCAUCCUUUCUGUGUGGCCCCCUGGAGCUGGAAAGCCAGAGUGACUAAUACUGUUCUAAGAAAACUAAGAUUCUUUCAAGAAUUGUUCUCCUUCGGGAUGAUAAAAAGCAAGAGGUCAGUCCAAAGAGUACUGUUUCUGGAAAAUACAUCAGCCCCUCUAUGCCCAUGUCAUUCAGCUAUCACCUAGCCUUAACUGUUAGUACCAGACACUGCCUGCUUGGCAGGAACCACUCUGCUGAGGUCAAAGGCACUUUAUGCAAGGACUAAUUAUGUGAAAAGAUGAUGCAAAAUCUGACCGUUUUCAUUCACCUCCAAUGCUUUAUCAAUAGCUGUGCUAAUGCAGGAAGCCACUUGGCCCGACACCACUAAGGAAAUCAGUGGGACAUGCUUGACUGUGUAUGGUCUCAACUGAAAAUUUCCCACUGAUGGAGUAUUUUUUCAUUUAAUGUUAUUGAUGCAAGGAAGUACCAUCAAAAGCCCAGGUGCAGAUUUUUAUUGGUCUGUGCCAGGAAAACAAACAAAGAGUGCUAACACUGCUUUCUCAGUCAAGCUUCUCUUAAUAAUCAGAAGAGGAAAAUGAGCUAAUAAAGUCCAAAGCAAGCUGGGGAGGGAGUGGAGGGAGCUGCCACACCAAAAUGUAUACAGAGUGGCUCCAGGACAACAUUGCUGGCAGGCAUCAGGAAGGAAAGCCCAAAGGAGAGAGAGGAUUUUCCAUUCUGGGUGCUCUGAAAAAGUAGAUAUAAUGUGCUUCCCUCACCUUCAGCAUGCUCUGAGCUCAAAUCAUGGAGGGGAAGAGAAACUCACCUCACGCAUCUUCUAUCUCUAGGAGGCUGUGGGAUCCUUGCUUUCUUUGCACAGAAGUUUAUCUAGUUCACGUGCAACUGUGGCAGCUGCCCCUGGUCCAGCAGCUGUCCCACUCACAGCAGUGCCGGCUGUCCCAGCAGGAGGAUCUCCCUCUAUCCUGCUGGCAGACGUCUCCCGAUGCAGUGCCGGAUCAGCCAAAACCCCCUCUGUGCCCCCAUGGAUGAUCUGAUGAGCAGCGUAGAUGUGUUUUCUUUGGGACUGCCUCACUGCACAUAAAAAGAGGUCCAUUUUGUCAACAAUGAAUGCAACCAGAUCUCACUUGCAUUUGAACAGCUGACCUUCACCAGCCAGCUCUCAAUUCCCAAGAGAGGUUUCUCUACCCAAGGCAUUUUGGCUUGAAUCAUAUUUGCUUGAACUGCAUCAGCUAUACUGGCAAUACUCUCCUGGUAUUGCUGCAGUCCCUUCCUCCAUCCACAGUGAAUUCCAUCUAAAAGAAAACAGGCUCAAACUGGUGUUGAAGACUGAGUUUUCCAAAUGCAAAAGGAAGCAUUCCUGCCUUUCUACACCAGCACUCAGGAGAAGCAAAACAGAACUAGCCGAAGGACUGCCUUAUGAUUUGGUAUGUUCUUUUUCUCUGGAAAGAAGGGAUGAUUUUCCAGUCCUAGAGAGCUAAACUGUACCACAUCACUUGGCUACAAGUGUGAAAUCGUUCCAGGACAGAGUUUUGGAAAUGGUGAUGGCACAUAUACUGGUGUGUGGUUCAAAAGAAGCAGGAAAGCAGCAGCAGCACAAGGAUGCAGUCAAUGUGGUUGCUAGAUUUUUAAUCCAGAAGAAGGGAGCCUUCCUUCCAGCUCACCAGAAAAGAUGGUGUAGGAGAGUGAAGAAGAAGGGAAGAGGAGGAAGAUGUGGUCACUAUUCCCAACAGAAAACAGAGGUAACUCUCAAAAAGAUGUGAGAAGACAGAUGCUGUGACAGACUAUGUUGUGGAUUGAGACCUUGUCUCUGUGCUGACCUUUGGCUGUAGUAGGGCAUUAUAUCCACUAUGGAAUACCUCACUUGUAAUUUAUAACAUCCUUUGUAAAAAUGGCCUCAGUUUACUGAUGGUGAUAAAUGGAACUUUGCAAAGGGGAAGUCUGUGGUUAAUUUGUGCCAUUUUUACUAAGAGCCACGCUAAGAGAGGCAUCUUCUGGUACAACUGCUGAAAUGAUAAAAAAAAAUAGAUGAAAGUCUUUAUAGGAGACUUGUUCUCUCUUGCCUUCUUUUUCUUAGUAUGAUUGUUGGCACAUUUCCUGUAGUAAAAGCAAUAUACAGAUGAGGAGAGCUUAAAAAGUCAAAGUUCAAAAAAAAUGAAGUAGUAGUACUUUGUGAUCACCGUUAAAAGAUUCACUUCAAAGCCUGCUGAAAGACUUCUGUAAUGGUUUUGAUUAACAUUUAAAAAAUGAAAAAAAGACGGUGGAAUUAAGGCAAUUUCCAGCCUAUGGUUCAGAGAAGUCCAAUCCGUGGCAAAACCUCAAUUUUACCAAUAUUUCAGGCAUUCUCUGAAGGACAUUCAUACACAUAAUUUCACUUGGAUGGAUCAGCUUUGGAUGAGAUUCUUAAAGAACAGAGGUGACAUCUGGAUGAUUUGCUGGGCUGUAGUCAGGCAUGUCAGGGAAAUAGUGUCAUGUCAUGUAGUCAGGCUGCCCAGGGAAGUAGUGGAUUCUCCAUCCCUGGAGAUUUUUAAAAAGAGACUGGAUGUGGCACUUAGUGCCAUGGUCUAGUAACCACAGUGGUAGUGGAUCAAGGGUUGGACUUGAUGAUUUCGGAGGUCUCUUCCAACCCAGCUGAUUCUAUGAUUCUAUGUUGACUGACUGUCCACAAUUUGGUGUCAUCUGCAAACUUGACUUAAAGAUUAUCUAGUGCCAUUGACAAGGAUGUCAUUCAGUAGACCAGGUUGCUGAAAACCCCAUCCAACUUGACCUUGAACGCUGCCAGUGAUGGGGCAUCCACAACUGCUUAGCCAAGCUGAAUCUUCUGAUUUACCUGCGUAUUUCCUGUCAGCAUGACCUGAUAGUCUCCAAGCUCAUGUAGUUCUGUGAACUCGAGGGCUAAAAUUCUGCCUCCUUGCUUUCUACACUGCAUGCAUUUGUGCAUGUAUCUUCUGGCCCCUUCUGCCAAUAUUUUUCUUUCUGAGGUCUGUUUUGUUUCUAUGACCCUGUACCCUUCAGACCUCUAUCCUCUAUGUCUUAACUAACAGUAUGAGAAGGAUCACAGAUAACUUGUGCCCUUACCAUGUCCUAUGGUAGGAAGUAAAGACCCUACAGAAAAUGAACUUUUUGCUUAUUUCUGCACAUACCAUUGAAGCAUUUUACAGGAACUGCAUUGCAUUUCAGAUGAUCUUUUUGUAGGGCUAGAUACCUUACCUCUACUGUUGUCUGUAAAUAUUUGUUUGUAAUUUAUUAAAAAAAUACUUAAGAUGUAAAAAA